GGGGCCUUGAGAGGGUGAUCCCCACACUGGUACUGAGACACGGACCAGAUUCUUACGGAAGGCAGCAUUGAGGAAUAUUGGACAAUGGGUUAGCGCUUGAUCCAGCCUUCCCGCGUGAAGGAGGAGGGCCUUAUGGGUUGUAAAUUUUUUUUGUACAGGGAUAAACCUACCUUCGUGAGGGUAGCUGAAGGUACUGUAGGAAUAAGCACCGGUUAAUUCCGUGCCAGCAGCCGCGGUAAUACGGAGGGUGCAAGCUUUUUCCGGAUUUAUUGGGUUUAAAGGGUCGGUAGGGGGAUCUGUAAGUCAGUGGUGAAAUCUUUCGGUUUAACCGGAAAACUGCCAUUGAUCUUCCAGUUCUUGAGUAAGGUAGAAGUGGCUGGAAUAAGUAGUGUAGCGGUGAAAUGCAUAGAUAUUCUUUAGAACACCAAUUGGGAAGCCAGGUCAUUAUUUUUUAACUGACGUUGAUGGAGGAAAGCGUGGGGAGCGACCAGGAUUAGAUACCUUGGUAGUCCACCCCGUAAACGAUGUUAAUUCGUUUUUGGGCUUU
rnacentral:rRNA from 1 species